AAGACUCGGGUAAUUGUGUUUUCUUAUAAUACAUAAGAUAUAUGCUAAGUUUUGAAAAUAAUUUCAUUAAACUUAUGUUUCCAUGUUGUAUUCUCAAAGCCAACUAAACAAACUUCAAAGAGUUCUAAAAGAAGAAGAGCUUCAAUUGCUAAUGCAAUUCGGGAGACAAGUAAGAGACUAAACAAUUCUAGUGAACAAGACAAUAUUAUAACUAGUCCAACUAAUGAUGAGCAAACCACAUUACCAACAACUGUAAAUGCUCCAAAAAAGAAAAGAGGUCCAACACAAGUGAAGAUGAUUCCUGAACAUAAUUAUUAGAAGAUAAAUCUAGAAUUCAAUAAAUAUGGCCAAGUUGUUGGGCAGAAUUCGGAAAAAAUUUCUAGCGUAGUUGGGGCCAUGGUACGAGAACAUGUGCCUAUUGUAAUUAAAGAUUGGACUUCAGUGAAUGAAGAGACUAAAAUGGAGCUCUGGACUUUCAUACAUGUAAUAUUUCGUAACUACCUUUUGAGAUUAUUACGUUGUAUUUAUUUCUUUCUUAAUGAUACCAUUUUCUAAAGUCUUAAAUUCAUGCUUGUGCAUAAAUACAGCAAAGGUUCAAUGUCAGUGAUUGUCAUCAAAGAAUGACAUUUCAAUGUAUGGGAAAGUACUGGAGGACAUUCAAAUCAAGAUUGAGAAAACAAAUUAGAACUCAAGUUGAAUCAUCUAUGAAUAGAGCACGCACUAUUGAAUGUCAACUCUGAAGAAGUCUGGGUUAAAUUUGUUGACGAUACUCUUUCUGCUAAUUUUCAUGUACGUAUAUUUGCAUGUAAAGUUUAACCCUUAUUUUAAUUAUUGUUGUUUUAUACUUCAUUGUUUUUUCAAUAGGAGAGAAGUUCCAGGUUCAGCAACAUGCGAACUAAUUAGAAGCUUCUCCAUACUAUGGGUAGAAAGGGUUAUCCACGUGUGGCUUAUGAAAUGGUACUUCUUACGAACAUAUCAUGUCUUUUUACUUGAAUUGUCCAAUUUCAAUAUAUUUGAUUACUACAUUUGUACUGCAGAAGAAAAAGAAUCCACAUUUAAAAGGGUUAAGAAUAGAAGUAUGGAAAUAUGGACAUCUCAGAAAAGAUGGAAAACCAAUUAAUGAAGCAGUUGCCGAAACAUUGGUAUGUGUAUUAUACUAAUGUUCAAUUAAGCAUAAUUUGAUUUAUUAGUUGUAUCACUUGCUACUAUUUGAUUUGAGUUCCUUAAGUGCAGAAAAAGAUUGAAGAUUGUGCCACAUCAAUUUCCGAUAUGCUUGCAUAAGAUUCUAUCCGUGAUGAUGCUAUAGCUCGAGUUUUUGGUCCCGAACGCUAUGGAAGAGUUAGGGGACCCGGAUUUGGAGUUGUACCAUCAAAAGUGGAUGGAUAAAUACAAAGUAGUGGGAGAGCUAGAGAACUUGAAAGCCAAGUACAGAUUCAGGCACAAAGGAUGGGGGCAUUAGAAGAAAAAAUGGAGGUUUUCUCAGUAGGUUAUAAGUAGUUACUUUUUAUACAUUUUAUGAUUAUAUAGCUUUAUAUAGCCAAUUACAGGUAUAAUAACUUUUGUAAUUUUUGUAUUAUUAUACAAAAUGUGGAGGAUAGGAAUUCAAAUGCUUUUAAUCAGGUUUCCAUUUCCUAUAUUAUUAAAUGUUUAUUUAAUAUAUAUUCAAUUUGUAGCAUUCUAAUUUUAAAAAGAAUACUUUUUGUUUAUUAUGAAUUUGUAGUCACACCAAGGAAGUGGUGUCCAAAGAAGUACUACCCCCAAGACAAAUGCAAGAUGUCAACUGUUGCAUUGGUACAUGUUUGAGGAGGAAGAAGUCGUAGCAGAAGGGAAGAUUGCCACAAGAGAUCCAAGUGCAAAGGUGCAUCACUUGCCACUCGGUCGAGACUGUUGAAAGGUUUGGAUUGAGGAAGUCUAUGUGGGUAAUUUGACCCUAUACAGACCCACAUAUGAAUUCCGCACUCUUAGUGAAGCCAUGGAAAGUACUAUUGCUUGGUCAAAGAGUAGUAUUAGACUUCUUGAUUAAGGUAUUAGACUCUUAGUGGCAAUGGUAAGUUUCG
rnacentral:lncRNA from 1 species